GACGUAGGGCGCGAGCGUUGUCCGGAUUUAUUGGGCGUAAAGAGCUCGUAGGCGGCUUGUCGCGUCGUUCGUGAAAACUUGGGGCUCAACCCCAAGCUUGCGGUCGAUACGGGCAGGCUAGAGUUCGGUAGGGGAGACUGGAAUUCCUGGUGUAGCGGUGAAAUGCGCAGAUAUCAGGAGGAACACCGGUGGCGAAGGCGGGUCUCUGGGCCGAUACUGACGCUGAGGAGCGAAAGCGCGGGUGGCAAACAGG
rnacentral:rRNA from 1 species